rnacentral:rRNA from 1 species
AGGACGAACGCUGGCGGCGUGCUUAACACAUGCAAGUCGAGCGAGGCCCCUUCCUUCGGGAGGGGAGCCCUAGCGGCGAACGGGUGAGUAACACGUGGGCAAUCUGCCCCUAGCACUGGGAUAACUCCGGGAAACCGGGGCUAAUACCGGAUAUGACCUCCGAGGGCAUCCUCUGGAGGUGGAAAGGAUUCUGGCUAGGGAUGAGCCCGCGGCCUAUCAGCUAGUUGGUGGGGUAAUGGCCCACCAAGGCGACGACGGGUAGCCGGCCUGAGAGGGCGACCGGCCACACUGGGACUGAGACACGGCCCAGACUCCUACGGGAGGCAGCAGUGGGGAAUUUUGGACAAUGGGCGAAAGCCUGAUCCAGCCAUGCCGCGUGCAGGAUGAAGGCCUUCGGGUUGUAAACUGCUUUGUACGGACGAAAGGUCUUUCUAAUAAAGAAGGCCCAUGACGGUACCGUAAGAAUAAGCACCGGCUAACUACGUGCCAGCAGCCGCGGUAA